rnacentral:rRNA from 1 species
CCUACGGGUGGCAGCAGUGAGGAAUAUUGGUCAAUGGCCGAGAGUCUGAACCAGCCAAGUCGCGUGAGGGAAGAAUGUCCUAUGGAUUGUAAACCUCUUUUGUCAGGGAGCAAAGUCACCCACGUGUGGGUGUUUGAGAGUACCUUACGAAAAAGCAUCGGCUAACUCCGUGCCAGCAGCCGCGGUAAUACGGAGGAUGCGAGCGUUAUCCGUAUUUAUUGGGUUUAAAGGGUGCGUAGGCGGGUUAUCAAGUCAGCGGUAAAAUCGUGGAGCUCAACUCCAUCCAGCCGUUGAAACUGAUGAUCUUGAGUGGGCGAGAAGUAGGCGGAAUGCGUGGUGUAGCGGUGAAAUGCAUAGAUAUCACGCAGAACACCGAUUGCGAAGGCAGCAUACCGGCGCCCGACUGACGCUGAAGCACGAAAGCGUGGGUAUCGAACAGGAUUAGAUACCCCAGUAGUC